GCCAGGCAUAGUGGUGCAUGCCUGUAAUCCCAGCUGCUCGGGAGGCUGAGGCAGGAGAAUUUCUUGAAUCUGGGAGGUGCAGGUUGCAGUGAGCCAAGAUUGCGCCAUUGCACUCCAGCCUGGGUGACAGAGGAGGACUCCAGCUGAAAAAAAAAAUUAUAAUCCCUUAUUUUUUUACUGCACUCUUUUCUUUUCUUUUCUUUCUUUUCUUUUUUAGAUAGGAUAUUGCUCUGUUGCCCAGGUUGGAGGUGCAGUGGCGAUCUUGGCUUGCUGCAACCUCUGCCUUAGGUUCAAGCAUUCUCCUGCCUCAU
rnacentral:sRNA from 1 species